CAAUAGCGUAUAUUAAAGUUGCUGCAGUUAAAAAGCUCGUAGUUGAAUUUCGGGACUAAUAUGUCGGUCGUACCUCGGUACGUACUGGUAUUUUUGGUUUCUCCCUUCUGACGAACCUUGAUGUCAUUAAUUUGGUGUCUUGGGAAAUCAGGACUGUUACUUUGAAAAAAUUAGAGUGUUUAAAGCAGGCUCACGCUUGAAUACAUUAGCAUGGAAUAAUGAAAUAGGACGUUUGAUUCUAUUUUGUUGGUUUCUAGGAUCGACGUAAUGAUUAAUAGGGAUAGUUGGGGGCAUUAGUAUUCAAUUGUCAGAGGUGAAAUUCUUGGAUUUAUUGAAGACUAACUACUGCGAAAGCAUUUGCCAAGGAUGUUUUCAUUAAUCAAGAACGAAAGUUAGGGGAGCGAAGACGAUCAGAUACCGUCGUAGUCUUAACCAUAAACUAUGCCGACUAGGGAUCGGAUGAUGUUAAUUUUUUAAU
rnacentral:rRNA from 1 species